rnacentral:rRNA from 1 species
AACGAACGCUGGCGGCAUGCCUAACACAUGCAAGUCGAACGAGACCUUCGGGUCUAGUGGCGCACGGGUGCGUAACGCGUGGGAACCUGCCUUUAGGUUCGGAAUAACUCAGAGAAAUUUGAGCUAAUACCGGAUGAUGUCUUCGGACCAAAGAUUUAUCGCCUUUAGAUGGGCGCGCGUUGGAUUAGCUAGUUGGUGGGGUAAAGGCCUACCAAGGCGACGAUCCAUAGCUGGUCUGAGAGGAUGCUCAGCCACACUGGGACUGAGACACGGCCCAGACUGCUACGGGAGGCAGCAGUGGGGAAUAUUGGACAAUGAGCGAAAGCCUGAUACAGCAGUGCCGGGUGAGUGAUGAAGGCCUUAGGGUUGUAAAGCUCUUUUACCCGAGAUGAUAAUGACAGUAUCGGGAGAAUAAGCGCCGGCUAACUCCGUG